rnacentral:snRNA from 1 species
GUGCUUGUUUUGGCAGUACACAUACUGAAAUUGGAAUGAUAGAGAUUAGCAUGGUCCUGUGCAACGAUGACAUGGAAAUUUGUGAAGCAUUCCAUAUUUUA